rnacentral:rRNA from 1 species
UACGUAGGCAGCGAGCGUUGUUCGGAGUUACUGGGCGUAAAGGGUGUGUAGGCGGUUCUUUAAGUUUGGUGUGAAAUCUCCCGGCUCAACCGGGAGGGUGCGCCGAAUACUGAGGGACUAGAGUAUGGGAUGGGAAAGUGGAAUUCCUGGUGGUAGCGGUGAAAUGCGUAGAUAUCAGGAGGAACACCUGUGGUGUAGACGGCUUUCUGGACCAUAACUGACGCUGAGACACGAAAGCGUGGGUAGCAAACAGG